rnacentral:rRNA from 1 species
UACGGGGGGGGCAAGCGUUGUUCGGAAUUACUGGGCGUAAAGGGUUCGUAGGUGGCCAACUAAGUCAGACGUGAAAUCCCUCAGCUUAACUGGGAACUGCGUCUGAUACUGGUUGGCUUGAGUGCAGGAGAGGAACGCGGAAUUCCAGGUGUAGCGGUGAAAUGCGUAGAUAUCACUUGGAACGCCAAUGGUGAAGACAGCUCGCUGGGGGUGUCCUGACGCUGAGGCGCGGAAAGCCAGGGGAGCGAACGGGAUUCAGAUACCCU